GCGGCGCGUGAGGCAGCGUGGCUCUCGUCCUAAUCUUGGCUUGGCUUCCUCAUAAAAAUAGAAGAAAAAUACAAACAACUCGGCUUUAUUUGGGUCGAAAUUCAAAACGGCACUCUAUAAAAUAUAAAUACUCAUCUUAUUUUUAUUUAUUUUUUAAAAUAUUAUCUUUCACAAACAAAAUUCCCUCUCCCUCCAUUUUUCACUCUCAUCUUUCUAUCUUCAAUCCCAUACUCAAAAACAUAUUCAUGGAGUUUCAGAUCAGGUUCAUUCAUCUCUUCAUCACUCGAAAAGUGGAUAAAAUAGAGGAAGCCUCUGCUUGCUUAUCUUAUUACAUCUACAUGUAGUUUUAGAGGAUUAAAGCAGCGCCCAUUUCUGUCUUUAUUGAGUUGGCCGAAGAAACGCACAGAUAUGUACAUCUAUUCCAAAUUGGGUGGAUCAUGUGGUGAUGUUGUUCUGUCUUACUUGUGUUUUGUAUAUGGAUCCCAGCUUUUAAUGCAGCGCAGUGCCAUUAGUGCACUCGGUGAUCUAUUACAUAACUUGGAGGAGUGGAUUGCAGGAAGCAAGACCAUUAUAUAGUGCAAAUUCUUAACUCAUUAUAUUAAUUAUUAAGUAAUCAGCUUGCAUUUAAUGAGUUUUUUAGUGAUUUUAGUUGGUAUUUAUGUCAAUCUACUCAAAAUUACCAUUUGUCUUUAACUUUUCUGCAUUGGUUAUUGAUUUUAGUUGGUAUUAUUUUGUACUUCGGCUUUCAGUUUUAUUGAUUAGUUUGGAUUAUAACUGAGGGUGAAAAAUUGAGUUUAUCUCAGUUAAGAGUUUGUUUUCUCAGGUGGCUUUGGCCUCUUUACUUGGACAUUGACUUGGUUAUACAAUAACCAAUAUUGUGUUUCAAAGUUACUUAUAUGAAGUGCGAUGUCUUUGAGCUGUCUUUGUACAUCUUAUCCAGUACCUAGCCAUUCAGUUGGUGGGUCUUCUAAAAGGACUUUUCUUUACAGUAUAAUCAAUUAUGGGCGUCUUGACCUCUUAUACAUUGUCUUUGUACAUCUUUCCCAGUACCUGUCCAUCCAGUGGCCUUGAUGGGUGGUCCACCCACGUUGAGAAAUCGGCUUACGUUGCAGAAGCUUUACUUAUUGGCUAGUAAGUUCACUAUUCAAGUUUGUAUCUUUUUCUAUUAAAGUUCUUUUUUCCUCUUAUGCAGGAGUUUUAUUUUUGGCUGGAAUUUGCUGUUAAAAUUAAUUAUAUCAAUAAUAUAAAUACGUCUAAA